CGUGGUGGAUGCCUAGGCGAUGAGAGGCGAUGAAGGACGUGGACAGCUGCGAUAAGCCACGGGGAGCCGCUCACAGGCUUUGAUCCGUGGAUUUCCGAAUGGGGAAACCCAGCUGGGAGUGAUCCCAGAUACCCGACGACUGAAUUCAUAGGUUUUCGGGAGCCAACCCGGGGAAGUGAAACAUCUCAGUACCCGGAGGAAAAGAGACCAAGUCAGGAACUCCCUCAGUAGCGGCGAGCGAACGGGGAUCAGGCCAAACCCGACGUAGUGAUACGGCGGGGGUUGUAGGGUCCGUGAUGUGGGACUUCGAGCGCGAGCGGAGCAGGCAUGGAAAGGCCGGCCAUAGAGGGUGACAGCCCCGUAUGCGAAGCGUGAGGAGCCCUAACGGAUACCUGAGUACCGCAGGACACGUGCAAUCCGGCGGGAAUCCGGCGGGACCAUCCGCCAAGCCUAAGUACUACUCAUCGACCGAUAGUGAACGA
rnacentral:rRNA from 1 species